UAAGUCACCUAAAACUACUUU
rnacentral:piRNA from 1 species